rnacentral:rRNA from 1 species
GAUGAACGCUGGCGGCGUGCUUAACACAUGCAAGUCGAACGGAAAGGCCCUGCUUUUGUGGGGUGCUAGAGUGGCGAACGGGUGAGAAACACGAGAGAAACCUGCCCUUGACUUUGGGAAAACUUCAGGAAACUGGGGCUAAUACCGGAUAGGAGCUCCUGCUGCAUGGUGGGGGUUGGAAAGUUUCGGUGGUUGGGGAUGGACUCGCGGCUUAUCAGCUUGUUGGUGGGGUAGUGGCUUACCAAGGCUUUGACGGGUAGCCGGCCUGGGAGGGUGACCGGCCACACUGGGACUGAGAUACGGCCCAGACUCCUACGGGAGGCAGCAGUGGGGAAUAUUGCACAAUGGGCGGAAGCCUGAUGCAGCAACGCCGCGUGCGGGAUGACGGCCUUCGGGUUGUAAACCUCUUUCGCCUGUGACGAAGCGUGAGUGACGGUAAUGGGUGAAAAAGCACCGGCUAACUACGUG